AAGUGAGAUGUGAAUGAUAGACUUAUUAUGGCUGAACGUGCAUUCACUGACAGAGAUGGCCUCUUAGGAAUGACAUGGCAUAAGCAUUUGGGUUCUAACUUCUAAGAAAGAUGAAAUUGAAGAAACCAAGCAAGCAAAGAAGAGAAGAAACAUCAAACAUGGCUGCUACUGUUGGAAUCACAGAACCACAAGGAGAUCCAGAAAGUGUAUUUGUCAAUGGCUCUGAGCAAGUCACCAUCAUGCAAUCUAAAAGGAAUAGGAUCAAUAUAAAAUCUUGUUUGUUUAAAUUGUUGAAAA